ensembl:snoRNA
GUUAGUUCUUAGUUCAUGAGUGUGAUAUUUGGAUUUUCGUACCCGUGUUUGAGAUGUGCCUCCCUCAAACUUUGUUAGGAUGUGGGCACAUUCCCAGUCUCGUG